rnacentral:rRNA from 1 species
GACGAACGCUGGCGGCGUGCUUAACACAUGCAAGUCGAACGGACAGGCCCUGCUUGCAGGGUACUCGAGUGGCGAACGGGUGAGUAACACGUGGGUGAUCUGCCCUGCACUUCGGGAUAAGCCUGGGAAACUGGGUCUAAUACCGGAUAGGAGCCAUUUUUAGUGUGAUGGUUGGAAAGUUUUUUCGGUGUAGGAUGAGCUCGCGGCCUAUCAGCUUGUUGGUGGGGUAAUGGCCUACCGAGGCGGCGACGGGUAGCCGGCCUGAGAGGGUGGACGGCCAUAUUGGGACUGAGAUACGGCCCAGACUCCUACGGGAGGCAGCAGUGGGGAAUAUUGCACAAUGGGCGCAAGCCUGAUGCAGCGACGCCGCGUGGGGGAUGACGGCCUUCGGGUUGUAAACUCCUUUCGCUAGGGACGAAGCUUUUUGUGACGGUACCUAGAUAAGAAGCACCGGCUAACUACGUG